AGGUAAAUCCGGUUCACUUUAACACUGAGGCGUGACGACGAGGCACUACGGUGCUGAAGCAACAAAUGCCCUGCUUCCAGGAAAAGCCUCUAAGCAUCAGGUAACAUCAAAUCGUACCCCAAACCGACACAGGUGGUCAGGUAGAGAAUACCAAGGCGCUUGAGAGAACUCGGGUGAAGGAACUAGGCAAAAUGGUGCCGUAACUUCGGGAGAAGGCACGCUGACACGUAGGUGAAGUGAUUUACUCAUGGAGCUGAAGUCAGUCGAAGAUACCAGCUGGCUGCAACUGUUUAUUAAAAACACAGCACUGUGCAAACACGAAAGUGGACGUAUACGGUGUGACGCCUGCCCGGUGCCGGAAGGUUAAUUGAUGGGGUCAGCGCAAGCGAAGCUCCUGAUCGAAGCCCCGGUAAACGGCGGCCGUAACUAUAACGGUCCUAAGGUAGCGAAAUUCCUUGUCGGGUAAGUUCCGACCUGCACGAAUGGCGUAAUGAUGGCCAGGCUGUCUCCACCCGAGACUCAGUGAAAUUGAACUCGCUGUGAAGAUGCAGUGUACCCGCGGCAAGACGGAAAGACCCCGUGAACCUUUACUAUAGCUUGACACUGAACAUUGAGCCUUGAUGUGUAGGAUAGGUGGGAGGCUUUGAAGUGUGGACGCCAGUCUGCAUGGAGCCGACCUUGAAAUACCACCCUUUAAUGUUUGAUGUUCUAACGUGGACCCGUUACCCGGGUUGCGGACAGUGUCUGGUGGGUAGUUUGACUGGGGCGGUCUCCUCCUAAAGAGUAACGGAGGAGCACGAAGGUUGGCUAAUCCUGGUCGGACAUCAGGAGGUUAGUGCAAUGGCAUAAGCCAGCUUGACUGCGAGCGUGACGGCGCGAGCAGGUGCGAAAGCAGGUCAUAGUGAUCCGGUGGUUCUGAAUGGAAGGGCCAUCGCUCAACGGAUAAAAGGUACUCCGGGGAUAACAGGCUGAUACCGCCCAAGAGUUCAUAUCGACGGCGGUGUUUGGCACCUCGAUGUCGGCUCAUCACAUCCUGGGGCUGAAGUAGGUCCCAAGGGUAUGGCUGUUCGCCAUUUAAAGUGGUACGCGAGCUGGGUUUAGAACGUCGUGAGACAGUUCGGUCCCUAUCUGCCGUGGGCGCUGGAGAACUGAGGGGGGCUGCUCCUAGUACGAGAGGACCGGAGUGGACGCAUCACUGGUGUUCGGGUUGUCAUGCCAAUGGCACUGCCCGGUAGCUAAAUGCGGAAGAGAUAAGUGCUGAAAGCAUCUAAGCACGAAACUUGCCCCGAGAUGAGUUCUCCCUGAGACUUAGAGUCUCCUGAAGGAACGUUGAAGACGACGACGUUGAUAGGCCGGGUGUGUAAGCGCAGCGAUGCGUUGAGCUAACCGGUACUAAUGAACCGUGAGGCUUAACC
rnacentral:rRNA from 1 species